GUNUGACUUGAGUGCAGAAGGGGAGAGUGGAAUUCCAUGUGUAGCGGUGAAAUGCGUAGAUAUAUGGAGGAACACCAGUGGCGAAAGCGGCUCUCUGGUCUGUCACUGACGCUGAGGCUCGAAAGCGUGGGUAGCGAACAGGAUUAGAUACCCUGGUAGUNCACGCCGUAAACGAUGAGUGCUAGGUGUUAGGCCCUUUCCGGGGCUUAGUGCCGGAGCUAACGCAAUAAGCACUCCGCCUGGGGAGUACGACCGCAAGGUUGAAACUCAAAGGAAUUGACGGGGGCCCGCACAAGCGGUGGAGCAUGUGGUUUAAUUCGAAGCAACGCGAAGAACCUUACCAGGUCUUGACAUCCCGAUGCUAUUCUUAGAGAUAGGAAGUUACUUCGGUACAUCGGAGACAGGUGGUGCAUGGUUGUCGUCAGCUCGUGUCGUGAGAUGUUGGGUUAAGUCCCGCAACGAGCGCAACCCUUAUUGUUAGUUGCCAUCAUUAAGUUGGGCACUCUAGCGAGACUGCCGGUAAUAAACCGGAGGAAGGUGGGGAUGACGUCAAAUCAUCAUGCCCCUUAUGACCUGGGCUACACACGUGCUACAAUGGUCGGUACAACGAGUUGCGAGCCGGUGACGGCAAGCUAAUCUCUGAAAGCCGAUCUCAGUUCGGAUUGGAGGCUGCAACUCGCCUCCAUGAAGUCGGAAUCGCUAGUAAUCGCGGAUCAGCACGCCGCGGUGAAUACGUUCCCGGGCCUUGUACACACCGCCCGUCACACCACGAGAGUUUGUAACACCCGAAGUCGGUGAGGUANCCUUUUAGGG
rnacentral:rRNA from 1 species